rnacentral:rRNA from 1 species
UACGUAGGGUGCGAGCGUUGUCCGGAAUUAUUGGGCGUAAAGAGCUCGUAGGCGGUCUGUCGCGUCGGUCGUGAAAACUUGGGGCUUAACCCCGAGCUUGCGGUCGAUACGGGCAUGACUGGAGUUCGGCAGGGGAGACUGGAAUUCCUGGUGUAGCGGUGAAAUGCGCAGAUAUCAGGAGGAACGCCGGUGGCGAAGGCGGGUCUCUGGGCCGAUACUGACGCUGAGGAGCGAAAGCGUGGGGAGCAAACAGG